UUAUACUCACAUCCAGUAACAGCAGAGAAAAUUCUGAUUAACAUACUUGAAAGUCUAGUAUAAGGAGUGUUACAUUCUCAAUGAAUAAAAUAUCUCAGACUCUCUAGAAGGGCUAGUUUAGUCCUUGGUCUGUUGAGAACAUAUACUACACACACACACACACACACACACAACACACACAGACAUACAUGCAUCUUUGUGGUACUAAAGUAAGUGAACAAGUAGUGGUCUUCCUUUUUGGAUUGUUCUUUAUAUCACAUCCUACAAUUAAAUAUCUGAAACCUAGUGACAAGUCCUUGAUCAUUUUUGGAUCUAGGAUGCCUUUGUCAAGACAGAGGGCCUAUAGAUGAGUUCCCGUGAAGGAAUAAAGCAUCUCAGGAGCAGGAGGCAUUCAAAAGACAGGGUCAUCCUUGGCCAGCACCAUGGAGAGUCACCCAUCUUUCUCCUGAUCCCUGAGGUCAGAUGUCGUAAAAAUAUAAGCAGCAAAUGAAAAGAAAGAGGAGCAGACGAGAUCUCACUGCAGAAUUGCCAUCCCGAUUCCUCCAGAGUCCUGUUCUCUGUCCACAGCGUGGAGCUGGCGCCGGGAGGGGCUUUCCAGCAGGGACUGCAUUUCCCAGCCCCACUUCAGACAGGGGACCCAGUGGGAGAGUUCCUGCCAGUGGCAUGUGGGCAGACAUGAUACACAGUUCUUGCUGGGCUGACCCAUAAAGGCGCCCUCCCUGACCCUCCACGGCCCUCUUCCCCAUCUGUGGCUGGAUGUCUCCAUUCCAGCUGCCUUCAAAGCCACGUGUUAAAUGGGCAGUGCCAUGGUGAGCCCGUUUUUUUUUUGGGGGGCGCACCAUAGCAUAUGGAGGUUCCCAGGCUAGGGGUCGAAUUGGAGCUGUAGCCACCGGCCUACACCACAGCGACAGCAAAACGGGAUCUGAGCUGUGUCUAUGUCCUACACCACAGCUUACAGCAAUGCCAGCUCCUUAACUCACCAAGUGACACCAGGGAUCGAACUGGCAUCCUCAUGGAUACUGGUCAUAUUUUCACUGCACCACGACAGAGGGAGCCCUUUCCUAAUCGGAUGUUGUAGGAGUGCAGAAUAAACGUGUAUGUUAAGCCA
rnacentral:lncRNA from 1 species